rnacentral:rRNA from 1 species
UACGUAGGGGGCGAGCGUUGUUCGGAUUUACUGGGCGUAAAGGGCGCGUAGGCGGCCCGCUAAGUCGAACGUGAAAUCCCCGGGCUCAACCCGGGAACUGCGCUCCGAUACUGGUGGGCUUGAAUCCGGGAGAGGGAUGCGGAAUUCCAGGUGUAGCGGUGAAAUGCGUAGAUAUCUGGAGGAACACCGGUGGCGAAGGCGGCAUCCUGGACCGGGCAUUGACGCUGAGGCGCGAAAGCCAGGGGAGCAAACGGG